rnacentral:rRNA from 1 species
AGUGAACGCUGGCGGUAGGCCUAACACAUGCAAGUCGAACGGCAGCACAGUAAGAGCUUGCUCUUACGGGUGGCGAGUGGCGGACGGGUGAGGAAUACAUCGGAAUCUACUUUUUCGUGGGGGAUAACGUAGGGAAACUUACGCUAAUACCGCAUACGACCUACGGGUGAAAGCAGGGGAUCUUCGGACCUUGCGCGAUUAAUGAGCCGAUGUCGGAUUAGCUAGUUGGCGGGGUAAAGGCCCACCAAGGCGACGAUCCGUAGCUGGUCUGAGAGGAUGAUCAGCCACACUGGAACUGAGACACGGUCCAGACUCCUACGGGAGGCAGCAGUGGGGAAUAUUGGACAAUGGGCGCAAGCCUGAUCCAGCCAUACCGCGUGGGUGAAGAAGGCCUUCGGGUUGUAAAGCCCUUUUGUUGGGAAAGAAAAGCAGCAGGUUAAUACCCCGCUGUUCUGACGGUACCCAAAGAAUAAGCACCGGCUAACUUCGUG